CUUGCAAGAAUACGAAUUCAACCAUACCCUUGGUUGGUUGAAUUAUCUUCGAUAAACCCAGAAACCACGAGGGUUCCGUCGAAACACUGUAGCACCGAUUUGAUCGUCGAGGUUUCACGCCAUUUUGAGGUUCAGAAAGGUAACAAGUCUUUUUCCUUAGUCAUUUGGCAUGAUUUUGGUUGAAGUUUAACGUGAGAAAACCCCAGAAAAUCGAAUCCCCAAGUUGGUCACUAUUCAUCAACUUUUAAAUGGAGGGUUUUCUUUGAAUUUCAGGGCUAUAGUGAGCUUUAGAACGUCCGCAUGAUGCUCGGAGUGCAACGUUGAGGUAUUUUGGACGUCGGGGAGCCAUAGAACGAAGUUUCACUUUUUGCCGAAUUAUCGUGCUUCCCCAGGUAAAAUCUAGUGAAUUUUAGACCUUGAAACUAGUCCAUCGUGAUUCUACAUGUUGAGGGCUUCAAAUUGAUAUAAAAUUCGAAGAAAACGGUUGAGAAACGAAGGAGAACAAGCAAUUACAAAAUUCGCCGGAAUCCGGCCACCGGAAAAACCAGUCCGGUGACUGGCUGAGGAAGAAGACGCACGUGGGGGCGUGUAGGUCCGUGCCACCCACGGCGCGUGAGGGCACGUGGCAAGCCUAAAAAUUUUUCUAAAAAUUCUUAACAUCCGUGACGUCGAGUAGGUCGAUGUGGUAUAUUCAUAUACCCAAAUUGAGCAUCGUAUGAGAAGUUAUUUCGAAUUGUUGGUUAUGUGUUUAAAUUAACGUUUUUAUAGUUGUUUCGCAUAUAGGUGACACCUAUCCCUAGAACGAGCUCAUCCAGGGACGUCACGGGGGUUACGACCCAUCGACUUAUCAGUGAGUGGGCAGUUUUGUUUUCGUAUUACCUAUAUACUACUGUUUUCCCAGAAAAUGCAACUAUAUGAAAAUAUGUUUUAAAAUGCCAUGCAUGCAAUCAAUGAGAUAUUUGAAUUGAUAAUUGAUGCAUAUAUAUGUGAAUUGACGUUGUUGACGCACAUGUGAGUUUUUACAUUAUUCAUACGAUUUAUUUUAUGUGAAUUGCAUUGGAAGCUCAUAACCUACACCCUAGUUGUUAGUGCAUAUAUUAUUCACCACACCGCACGCUCGCCUUGGAUCCAAGUAGGUGGAUGUCGUACAGACCACUAGAGGUGGUUCCGACAUGCCAGUUGUACAGACCAUUAGAGGGGUUCCGACUGGUAGGUGACCUUAGAUUAUGUGCAUAGAUGAUUGAUGAGAAAAGCACUAGAGCAUAUUAUUUCACCAUCUUAGUCGUACAGACUACUAUAGGUAGUUCCGACUUAUGUGCAGUGUAGUGCUGUACAGGUCACAGUUGGUGACUCCGGCUGGAUGGGAUAUUGAGCUAUAGAAUCAGCCGUACAGGACCACUGUAGGGUCUCCGGUUGAUUUAUUAAUUCGCCUGAUUUAUAUUGAUGCUUUCAUAUUAUAUUUUGGCAUAUGGCAUGGCAUGGUAUAUUCUUCUGAAAAGCGUUGAAGGAUUGUGAUUUGAGCUUUUGAUGAUAUAUAUAUGUUUAUAUAUAUAUAUAUUUUUUUUCUGGGAAAGUAUACAGGUUUUACGGCGAGGGGUUAGAAAUGUUUUAAAUGAAAGAUUUUCGAAAAGCUUUGUUUUGCUGACCCACUCAAUUUUGUUUUGCGCCCCUCCAGGUUCAAGUUAGCAGAGCUUUGGUGGCCACGAGGAAUCCAACGG
rnacentral:lncRNA from 1 species